rnacentral:rRNA from 1 species
AGCACCGGCUAACUACGUGCCAGCAGCCGCGGUAAUACGUAGGGUGCAAGCGUUAUCCGGAAUUAUUGGGCGUAAAGGGCUCGUAGGCGGUUCGUCGCGUCCGGUGUGAAAGUCCAUCGCUUAACGGUGGAUCCGCGCCGGGUACGGGCGGGCUUGAGUGCGGUAGGGGAGACUGGAAUUCCCGGUGUAACGGUGGAAUGUGUAGAUAUCGGGAAGAACACCAAUGGCGAAGGCAGGUCUCUGGGCCGUCACUGACGCUGAGGAGCGAAAGCGUGGGGAGCGAACAGGAUUAGAUACCCUGGUAGUCCACGCCGUAAACGGUGGAUGCUGGAUGUGGGGACCAUUCCACGGUCUCCGUGUCGGAGCCAACGCGUUAAGCAUCCCGCCUGGGGAGUACGGCCGCAAGGCUAAAACUCAAAGAAAUUGACGGGGGCCCGCACAAGCGGCGGAGCAUGCGGAUUAAUUCGAUGCAACGCGAAGAACCUUACCUGGGCUUGACAUGUUCCCGACGGUCGUAGAGAUACGGUUUCCCUUCGGGGCGGGUUCACAGGUGGUGCAUGGUCGUCGUCAGCUCGUGUCGUGAGAUGUUGGGUUAAGUCCCGCAACGAGCGCAACCCUCGCCCCGUGUUGCCAGCACGUUAUGGUGGGAACUCACGGGGGACCGCCGGGGUUAACUCGGAGGAAGGUGGGGAUGACGUCAGAUCAUCAUGCCCCUUACGUCCAGGGCUUCACGCAUGCUACAAUGGCCGGUACAACGGGAUGCGACACUGUGAGGUGGAGCGGAUCCCUUAAAACCGGUCUCAGUUCGGAUUGGAGUCUGCAACCCGACUCCAUGAAGGCGGAGUCGCUAGUAAUCGCGGAUCAGCAACGCCGCGGUGAAUGCGUUCCCGGGCCUUGUACACACCGCCCGUCAAGUCAUGAAAGUGGGCAGCACCCGAAGCCGGUGGCCUAACCCCUUGUGGGAUGGAGCCGUCUAAGGUGAGGCUCGUGAUUGGGACUAAGUCGUAACAAGGUAGCCGUACCGGAAGGUGCGGCUG